rnacentral:misc_RNA from 1 species
AAAAACUCGCAUAGCUGUUUCUUGCCUGUCAAGUGCAGCACGUGUGAAUUUGAGCGCUUUGUCCAGGCCUCUUUCGAGGGCAGGACAAUCGCUUUGAAAUGAUUGUGCGUAGGGCAGUGACUACCCGUCCGCUCGACUCUCAGUGCAACAGAUCAUUGAAACACUUUGAGUCUUGGGACGCGAAAUAGCUGCAUUGCGCCUUCCAGUUUAACACGGUGCCUGCUCGUAAUUUUUGCGAGUGGCUCCGACA